AAUGUAUUUGACAAAACAUCGUCCACAAAAAUGUUAUUAUGAAACACAUAUGCAUGUAUUACUUUUUGUUUGACAGCAACAAAUUAAAAGAAAAUAUAUUAUGGCCAAUUAGACAUUUACGAGAGUAAAUGUGAAUGCAGCAGGAAAUGACGUCAGGACCGCAGGAGUUGUUUGGAAAACUGAGUGGCACAAAGCGAGGGAGCCAGCAGCCGUGAAAAAAGGAGACACGAAAGGAAAAAGUUGAGGUGGCAAAGCUAAAGGUGGAAAUCAGAUUCCUACAUGAUGAAUGCACAGUUUUGAAGGAACAUGUGGACAAAUUAACAUCUGUUCCUGACAUGGCUGCAGGUCCUUCAGCAGGAUGGAGAGGGGCAGAAGAUUCCGCAUCCUGCUUUCUGAUAGACGAAAAAAAGGAAAAGCACAAGAAGAAGAAGAUCAAGAAGAACAAAAAAUAUAACAUUUUACCUAAAAGAAACAUAUAAUCAAUGAUGAUUGUAAAUAAAUAAAUAAAUAAGUUUAAUGUUA